CACGUAGGGUGCGAGCGUUGUCCGGAAUUACUGGGCGUAAAGGGCUCGUAGGCGGCCAACUAAGUCGGACGUGAAAUCCCUCGGCUUAACCGGGGAACUGCGUCCGAUACUGGAUGGCUUGAGUUUGGGAGAGGGAUGCGGAAUUCCAGGUGUAGCGGUGAAAUGCGUAGAUAUCUGGAGGAACACCGGUGGCGAAGGCGGCAUCCUGGACCAACACUGACGCUGAUGAGCGAAAGCCAGGGGAGCAAACGGG
rnacentral:rRNA from 1 species